rnacentral:rRNA from 1 species
UACGGUCCAGCUUGCUGGACGCUGACGAGCGGCGGACGGGUGAGUAAUGCAUAGGAAUCUACCCCCUCGUGGGGGAUUACCUGGGGAAACCCGGGCUAAUACCCCAUACCUCCUACGGGACAAAGCGGGGGCUCUUCGAAACCUCUUUCGAUUGGAUGAGCCUAUGUCGGAUUAUCUGGUUGGUGGGGUAACGGCUCACCAAGGCGACAAUCCGGGCUGGUCUGAGAGGAUGAUCACCCACCCUGGGACUGAGACACCGCCCACACUCCUACUGGAGGCAGCAGUGGGGAAUAUUGGACAAUGGGCGAAAGCCUGAUCCAGCCAUGCCGCGUGUGUGAAGAAGGCUUUCGGGUUGUAAAGCACUUUCUUUGGGGAAGAAGGCUUGUCGGCCAAUACCCGGCAAGAGCGACAUCACCCACAGAAGAAGCACCGGCUAACUCCGUGCCAGCAGCCGCGGUAAUACGGAGGGUGCAAGCGUUAAUCGGAAUUACUGGGCGUAAAGCGACUGCUGUAGGUCGGCUUGUCACGCCGRGUGUAGCAAAAGCCCCCGGGCUCAACCUGGGAUACGGCCAUCCGGAACGGGCAAGGCUAGUAGUGCUUGUAGUAGRAAUGUCAGAAUGUCCCGGUGUAGCUGUUGCAAAAUGAUCUAGAGAUCGGACACGGAAAUACGCAGUGGGCGAAGUCUGGCCUUCUGGACCUCACAUCUGACGCUGAGGUGCGAGAGGGUGGGCUAGCAAAACAGGAUUAGAUAGCCUGGUAGUCUCACACCGUAAAAGAUGUCGUCUAGGGCGUUGGCUCCCUUUAGGAGUUAGUGGCGCAGUUAACACGAUAAGUCGCCCGCCGGGGGAGUACGGCCGCAAGAUUAAAACUCAAAUGAAUGGGCGGGGGCCCGCACAAGCGGUGGAGCAUGUGGUUUAAUUUAGAUGCAACGAGAAGAACAUUACCUACCCUUGACAUCCUGCGAACCCGGAAGAGAUUCCGGGGUGCCUUCGGGAGCGCAGAGACAGGUGCUGCAUGGCCGUCGUCAGCUCGGGGAGUGAAAGGUUGGGUUAAGUCCCGUAACGAGCGCAACCCUUGUCCCUAUUUGCCAGCGAUUCGGUCGGGAACUCUAGGGAGACUGCCGGUGACAAACCGGAGGAAGGUGGGGAUGACGUCAAGUCAUCAUGGCCCUUUCGGGUAGGGCUCCACACGUGCUACAAUGGCCGGUACAAAGGGUUGCGAAGCCGGGAGGUGAAUCCAAUCCCAGAAAGCCGGCCUCAGUCCGGAUUGGAGUAUGCAACUCGACUCCAUGAAGUCGGAAUCGCUAGUAAUCGUGCAUCAGAAUGGCACGGUGAAUACGUUCCCGGGCCUACACACCCCGCCCGUCACACCAUGGGAGUGGACCCACCAGAAGUGGUUAGCCU